GUUUCGUUUUGUUAGGAAACUGCCAAACCCUCUUUCAACUGUUUAGAGAUUUUAAAACCGGCAGAAAGUCCAGUUGGUCCUCAACCAAUUCUACAGCCAUGUCUCUGCAUCUUCAGAGUCCCUGCGCCAGUGAUUGGGAGUGAGUUCUCAGGACUAUGGUGGGGAGAGGAGCAGAGAUGUUGGCAGAAAGACUUGCAGCAAAGCCCCUGAGGAAAGAAACUGACUUGUGAACUCCAAGAACAGCCAUGCCAAGUAACAGAUGAAAGUCACUCACAGUGUUAAAUAUUCAUUUGUUACCCCAACAAGAAAAGUCUUGUUGAAAUUCAGAAAAUUCAGAAUUACAGUAUUCAAGAUUUAAUUUCACCAAAUAAAAGGUUUGUGGGGAUA